UGACAAAAUCGUUGAUUUUCACUUUUAUUUAUCUCUUAGAAGUGAAUAAGCAAUCUAAACAGAUUUUUUUUAAUAAGUGACAUUAAGCUGUACAUGUAUGCAACUGAUUUAUGCAAUUGAGUUAAUCGCUUUAAAAAUAUCGUUUGAAUUUCUUAAAUAAUCCCAUCAUUGCAAUGACGAAUAAUCGAUGUUUUCUUAUCAGUUUAAAUUCAUCAAAAGAAUUAGUAAGGUUUAGUAUUGUGACAAUCAACAAUGGAAAACAUUGAUUUUAAUGUGGAGUACGGCAAUCUUCAAUUGGGUAAUUUUAUAGACGGUGGUAGCUUUGGCGAUGUUUAUAAAGCACAUUGGAGAACUGAAAACAAAGCUAUUGUUGUUAAAAAAUUCGUGGCUUCAUAAACAAUGCAGGAAAUAAUGAAAAAGAAAUUUUAAAUCAAAUUAAAAACAUAAAAGUUCUCAAUCAUCCGAAUAUUUUCUCUAUGGAGUAACAAAAGAUUCCGAAAAUAGAAUUUGCUUUUUGAGUUCGCCGAUUGUGGUUCACCAGCUUCUUGCAUGAAUCGAAUAUAAAAAUAACCCUAGAUUAAAAGCUUAAUUGGAUGAGCCAGAUAGCUAAGGGCAUGGAAUACUUACAUGACCAAAAAAAAGUUCAUCGGGACCUUAAAUCUAAGAACCUUUUGCUUUGCAACAAAUACCGUACGGUGAAAAUAUGUGAUUUUGGCACAAUUAAAGAACUCGCAACGGUUAUACGAAAGGUAUUGGGACAUAUGCUUAUAUGGCUCCAGAAAAAUGCAAUGAAGGAGGGAGUUACACGGAAUGGUGUGAUACUUUUAGCUUUGGCAUUGUUUUGUGGGAUGUAAUGUCUAGGAUGAAGCCCUUUCAUAACUAUGAAUUAAUAGAUGCCAUAGCUAUCCAAAUAAAAAUUAUUAAUGGUGAACGUCCGAACAUAAAUGACAUUAAGAGCUAUACUACUGUGGGC